CCUGCAUUGGCCUCCCAAAGUGCUGAAGCCAGUGCACCAACUGUCUUUUUCUUUUUUGAGACGGAGUUUCGCUGUUGUUACCCAGGCUGCAGUAGUCUUUUUCUUUUUUUAGAGAUGGGGUCUUGCUAUGUUGCUCAGGCUGGUUUCCAACGACUGGCUAAAGCGAUCCUCCUGCUUCAGCCUCCCAGGUAGCUGGGAUUACAGGCUCGGGGAACCACUGAGCCCUGCUCAAGGCUGCAGGUCUUAAACAAAACAGGCAUCCUGCACCCCCACCACCCCACCCUCGCAUUUCUGAGGAGGCCUCUUGCUGUGAAUGAGGCUCAUACCUGUGGAUGGAGAAGAGAGGUCUAGUGCUGAACUUCUCCGACUUCAGUGUACGCAAGAAGCUUUCAGGGAAGUCUCAUUAACAUCCAGAUUCUGAUUCAGUAGGCCUGGGUGGGCCCAGCAAUUCCACUCUUUUAACUGGCUCCCAGGUGCUGCUGAUACUGCCAGGCCAAGGACCACACUCUGAGUGGAAGAAACUGGAGAGUUGGAUGUCUACUCCCCUGCGGGAGGGAGGGGAAGAAAUGCUGAAAGGAAAGGCUGCCAUCCUGAGGUCACACAUUUGCUACCUUGCCUGACUCCUGGCUCCCAGCCCAAAAGAAGAGCAGAGCGUGGGCUCCACAGCCUCAAAGAAGGGCCCGAUUCUGGUUUCCCACUGACAACAGCCAUCUGGGGUCAGCCUCAGAGACCAGCUAUAUAUCUUUGGUGGGAAAGGUGGGCUGGGAAGAAAAGGCCACACAGUGUGGAUCCCCUGGUGAGCAGCAAAUAAGAGACCCUCACAUGCCCACAAGGAUGGAGCUCUCUGAAAGAGGGGGCCGCCCUGCAUGGACUCUAAUCUCGGGAUCAUCUUCCUCCUGUCUCCAGAGCUCACUGGUCAGGCCAGGAGAAGGUUUUCCUGGGCUUACCCACACCUCUACGUCCAGCACUGAAGUUCCUGAAUAAUCACCAGCAUUUGAACUGAAAUAUGCCUUUUGCAACGCACCCUGUGGAGACAUUAGCUCAUCUGAGGCAGGGAUUAUUAUGCCCAGCUCACGGAUGAUGGAACUGAGGUUUAGAGAGAUGAAGUGACUUGCCGGAGUCCCACAGCUAGAAA
rnacentral:lncRNA from 13 species